rnacentral:rRNA from 1 species
UACGUAGGGUGCGAGCGUUAAUCGGAAUUACUGGGCGUAAAGCGUGCGCAGGCGGUAAGUUAAGUCGGAUGUGAAAUCCCCGGGCUCAACCUGGGAAUUGCAUUCGAUACUGGAUAGCUAGAGUUCGGCAGAGGGAAGCGGAAUUUCGUGGUGUAGCGGUGAAAUGCGUAGAUAUCAGAAGGAACAUCAGUGGCGAAAGCGGCUUCCUGGACCAGAACUGACGAUCAGGCUCGAAAGCGUGGGGAGCAAACAGG